rnacentral:rRNA from 1 species
UACAGAGGGUGCAAGCGUUACUCGGAAUUACUGGGCGUAAAGCGCAUGUAGGUGGUUAAAAAAGUUUGAUGUGAAAGCCCCGGGCUUAACCUGGGAAUGGCAUUGAAUACUGAGUAACUUGAGUCGAACAGAGGGCAGUGGAAUUCCCGGUGGAGCGGUGAAAUGCGUAGAGAUCGGGAGGAAUACCAGUGGCGAAGGCGGCCGGCUGGGCCACGACCGACACUGAGGUGCGAAAGCGUGGGGAGCGAACCGG